AUACGGAGGAUCCAAGCGUUAUCCGGAUUUAUUGGGUUUAAAGGGUGCGUAGGCGGACUUAUAAGUCAGCGGUGAAAGUUUGCAGCUUAACUGUAAAAUUGCCGUUGAAACUGUUAGUCUUGAGUGUAAAUGAGGUAGGCGGAAUGUGUUGUGUAGCGGUGAAAUGCUUAGAUAUAACACAGAACACCAAUUGCGAGGGCAGCUUACUGGGAUACAACUGACGCUGAGGUGCGAAAGCGUGGGGAGC
rnacentral:rRNA from 1 species